rnacentral:rRNA from 1 species
AGUGAACGCUGGCGGUAGGCCUAACACAUGCAAGUCGAACGGCAGCACAGUAAGAGCUUGCUCUUACGGGUGGCGAGUGGCGGACGGGUGAGGAAUACAUCGGAAUCUACUUUUUCGGGGGGGAUAACGUAGGGAAACUUACGCUAAUACCGCAUACGACCUACGGGUGAAAGCAGGGGAUCUUCGGACCAUGCGCGAUUGAAUGAGCCGAUGUCGGAUUAGCUAGUUGGCGGGGUAAAGGCCCACCAAGGCGACGAUCCGUAGCUGGUCUGAGAGGAUGAUCAGCCACACUGGAACUGAGACACGGUCCAGACUCCUACGGGAGGCAGCAGUGGGGAAUAUUGGACAAUGGGCGCAAGCCUGAUCCAGCCAUACCGCGUGGGUGAAGAAGGCCUUCGGGUUGUAAAGCCCUUUUGUUGGGAAAGAAAAGCAGCAGGUUAAUACCCCGCUGUUCUGACGGUACCCAAAGAAUAAGCACCGGCUAACUUCGUG